UCCAAGCCUGCAAGGCACCUUCCAGAAACCUCCGCUUGCCUUGGCCGGCUCACCCAGCGGUCUGUAGGCUGCUUAAGGGCGGGGGCUGGCGGGAGACAUCCUCGGAGCCCCCUGGGCCGUCUCACCGGAAGCCACAGACCCUGCCUGUACUUACCGAACAGGACCAGAAGAAGGUUUUGUCUCCUUUGUCAAACCCGAUUGAUUUGAAGUGGCUGUUUGGAGCUCGCUGUGGAGCAGGAAUUGGAAUGGCGUCUCAGCUGACCGCGGGGGUCCUGAAGAGGCGCUGUUGGUCCGCCCAGGGUCCAGCUCCGUGUUGAGCAGAGAGAGACACGUUGGACCAUCAACCUUCUUUCUCCCUCCAACGUGCCCGCCCGCUUCUCGUCCCGCUCGGCCCCCUGCACGGAUCCAAAUCUGCCGCCAGGCAUUUCAAUUUUUAAGGGUGGACUUUCUUGAGUGGGAGCCCUCAAGCAUCUUUAAACAGCUCUGAGCAGCAGGACCCAGCUCUGCCAGCCUUUGAGGACACAAGGCUCCAUAAGACACAGAUGUGUGUGUUUCCAGUGAAGGAGGCAGGCAUCGAAAGGAAAACUGGUGAUAUCAAGUGAUAAAUGCUAAACAGCCCGUGAAGGGACCCAGAGGAAGUGCUAAUUACCUGUCUAGGAGCAGAAGAGGUGCCCGUUGUCUGAUGGUGAGGUUGGCGGUGACGAGGGUGGUGAUAACAGCUCCUAGACCUCCUACUGGGUGCCUGAUCCCAUGCUAGACACAGGAAUGAGAGCAAGAAAAGGAAAGUAAAAAAACGUGUUCCUGUCAUCUCCACUCUGCACCAGGACGUCCUUCCUCCCGCGCUGUCUCCCUCCCACUGCGCCGCGAGGUAGCCCCCGCCUCCCCUGUCCUCACUCCUCUCCCCAAACCCCAGCCACGAGCGGUUCAUGAGUCUGGGGGUGGUGCUUCUGUGUUUCCGGCCGAAGGAAGGUCAGUCUGCCUGUCUCACCCCAUCUUCUACACAUUGCUACUUGGCUGAGGACAGGUGAGGGCAGAGAAUUGGGACAGGCCCAGGGGCACCUCCUCCGUGAAGCACCCCCAGGUUAUAGGGAUCCUGUGCACCCUCUUGGGGCCCCUUAUUCACUGUUGCUUUUUAUUCAUUGCCCGUGGUGCGCCUUCCUCCAACGACGGCAGCUUCCAGACCAGACUGGCCAGGGCCCUGCAUUUCCCCCCGCUCAAAGCAAAGUACUAGGCUUAAGACACAGUCCCUGGAUCUCUUGGAAUCUGCUUGAAGUUGCAAGAUCCCUGAUGUUUGGAACAGCUGCCUAUCUCUCAACGGGGAUAAAUGUUAAGUUUCCACACUUGGGGCCAAACACCAAUCGUACAAUUUGCAGUUGGAGAUGUGGCCUACCAGCAGCUUGUGUGGAAGAGGACUGAGGAGGUUUUGUUAAUAACGUACGCGGUCUGAGUCAACGGCGGCCACUGAAAACGCUAACGCCAAAUCAGGCCGCGUCAACGGGUAUUUUAUGGCCACAGGAAGGAGAGGAGGCCCUGAAGCCACGGUCACUGCAAAGCUGCAACAGGUCUGGAGAGAGAGAGACUGGAGUAGGUUCAGAAACAAAGUGAAUAGGACAGAGCAGGCAGCUCUUCGAGGUAGAAUUUGACAUCACGAAGGGCCAAGCCCCAAGCAGUCAAUGGACCAGAUGUGGCUGGCUAGGGAAAUGAAUUUGGACCCGAUAUAAACUUAACACUUGGACCAGAUGAGCUUGAAGGUCACUUCCACCUUUAAAAGUCCGUAGUUUGGGGUGUCUCUCCUAAAGCCCGAUUACGUCCUUUCCACAACCGCUCAGAACACAAUAUUUCUGACGAGAGGGACAAUAUGGCUGGUUCUUCAUAAAGAGCUUCUGGACAGUGGCUUUGUGGCAUCUUCUGUCAUCCGAAAGGUGAAAUGAUAGCAUUUGAGUUGAAAAUGAAAAACCAUGUGGCAUGGUCAGGAGAAUCUGUCAGGGGGAAAGCUGCCUGUCUACCUACCCACCAUGUCACUGAGCUGGCCCAGGCCAGAGUGAAAUGAUAAUGGGUCUGGGGCGGGAUUCAUUGAGCGAGGUAAAAUAAAGCAUAAAAGAGAAAACCCCAAAUAAACAAGGUAUAUCUUUAAUGCUUUGGACACUUAGCUACCUCAGCGUCUACACCUGGACACAUUCUGCAAAACAUGUGAUGAGGAGCUGUUCUACAGCCCACCCCAUUGUCCACCGUCAGUCUGGUUGCACAGACUUCAGACCGCAAAGGCCUCUCAGACCAUUGCAUAUGGCGCCUUCGUCGCAGAGAGGAAGUACAGUCGCACAGGGAGGUGAACGUGGCCCAGCUGAGCUGGGAAAUGGAAGUGAGGUCCCUGGAUUCCUGACCCCCAUGUGCCUUCACCUUUCCUCGCUCCCCCCACACAGCGAGCACGGCACUCAUCCAUCAGUGAAGUAAAUGGCAUCUGUUAAUCACAUGUAUGUGCCGGGCUUUGCGCUACAGCUUGUAAUGUGAUUAUAAGACACAGUCUCCAUUGUGAAGGUACCCAGGAGCCCAAGAGCUGGGGAAAGACGUUCCUACCGAACAUUUGUGAGUGAUCUGUACCCAUCACGCUGCCUGCCUUCCAGAGCUGCAAAGACCAUUUGAGGGAUUUGGGUCCCGGGUCAGAUGGGACCCCACACACUUUCGGGAUAUUCUCUAAAAGGAAUAUUCUUACCACUAGUUACACAUAUUUCAUGCACUCAAGACCUUUAGCGAAAGCAAAAUUCGGUCGGGCAUUUAAAACUAUUCCCUAUGAUUGUAUUUGCCCGACUCCAUUUUUUUUCCUUGCCUGACUUCUAUUUUAUACAUUAUCCUAAGGAUACUUGUAAUCCAUAUUAUUUUCCCACAGUCUGCCGGGGGGGUGGCAGAGAGGACAAAGGACAGGUGUCGGGGGCAUGCCACUAGCCAUCUGGGCAACAUCAGAGAAAUCUCCCAGCCCUACUAAGCCCCAAAGAUUCGUCAGAAACAGUGGCUAAAACUGUGUUCUGCGUACCCCACAGGUUUGUUGUAAAGAGCAAGCAAAAUCGUGUAGGGUGAAAGUAUCCUGGAAAGUCUAAAGCAGCAUUCAGAUGUAAAGUAUUAAACUCUCUGCCCUUUUCCCUUGUUUCCCUGAAGUCACAUUCAGUGUUUGGCUUGGGUCUGCUGGCAGAAAGCACUUACAAUGGCGAAUGGGGUCAAGGCUUCCGAGCACAUCCGAACAAGAGCUGCCAACACUAUUUCUUUAAAAAUAAGGAAGUGGUCCUGUCCUUGGAGAAGGGAAUAGGGAGCGCUUGCAAUGUGGCAUCCCGCCUGCUCCCAGUUCACUGUGCCAAAGCGCCUGGCAAGUCCAAUCUAGUUCCCUUCGGCCCAGGGAUUGAGGGGGCCCCCAGAGAAUCCCGCGGAACUGACCGUGCGUGGGGGGACUUACUCUGUGCUAUUUUCCUCACCUGUGAUAUUGGGAUAACCAUUGUCUCCCCCCCCCCCCCAUAGGGGCUGCUGUAAAGAUUCAACGAGUUAACUGUGCGACCAAACCCGGCACGAAAUAAAAUGUUCGAUAAAUGUUA